AGAGUUUGAUCCUGGCUCAGGACGGACGCUGGCGGCGUGCUUAACACAUGCAAGUCGAACGGAAAGGCCCUUCGGGGUACUCGAGUGGCGAACGGGUGAGUAACACGUGGGUGAUCUGCCCUGCACUUUGGGAUAAGCCUGGGAAACUGGGUCUAAUACCGAAUAGGACCACGCGCUUCAUGGUGUGUGGUGGAAAGCUUUUGCGGUGUGGGAUGGGCCCGCGGCCUAUCAGCUUGUUGGUGGGGUAAUGGCCUACCAAGGCGACGACGGGUAGCCGGCCUGAGAGGGUGACCGGCCACACUGGGACCGAGAUACGGCCCAGACUCCUACGGGAGGCAGCAGUGGGGAAUAUUGCACAAUGGGCGCAAGCCUGAUGCAGCGACGCCGCGUGAGGGAUGACGGCCUUCGGGUUGUAAACCUCUUUCAAUAGGGACGAAGCGCAAGUGACGGUACCUAUAGAAGAAGCACCGGCCAACUACGUGCCAGCAGCCGCGGUAAUACGUAGGGUGCGAGCGUUGUCCGGAAUUACUGGGCGUAAAGAGCUCGUAGGUGGUUUGUCGCGUUGUUCGUGAAAACUCACAGCUUAACUGUGGGCGUGCGGGCGAUACGGGCAGACUAGAGUACUGCAGGGGAGACUGGAAUUCCUGGUGUAGCGGUGGAAUGCGCAGAUAUCAGGAGGAACACCGGUGGCGAAGGCGGGUCUCUGGGCAGUAACUGACGCUGAGGAGCGAAAGCGUGGGGAGCGAACAGGAUUAGAUACCCUGGUAGUCC
rnacentral:rRNA from 1 species